rnacentral:rRNA from 1 species
CCGGCGCACGGUGAGUAACGCGUAUCCAACCUGCCCACCACUUGGGGAGUAACCUUGCGAAAGUAAGACUAAUACCCAAUGAUAUCUCUAGAAGACAUCUGAAAGAGAUUAAAGAUUCAUCGGUGAUGGAUGGGGAUGCGUCUGAUUAGCUUGUUGGCGGGGUAACGGCCCACCAAGGCAACGAUCAGUAGGGGUUCUGAGAGGAAGGUCCCCCACAUUGGAACUGAGACACGGUCCAA